rnacentral:rRNA from 1 species
CACGUAGGGUGCGAGCGUUGUCCGGACUUACUGGGCGUAAAGAGCUCGUAGGUGGUUUGUCGCGUUGUUCGUGAAAACUCACAGCUCAACUGUGGGCGUGCGGGCGAUACGGGCAGACUUGAGUACUGCAGGGGAGACUGGAAUUCCUGGUGUAGCGGUGGAAUGCGCAGAUAUCAGGAGGAACACCGGUGGCGAAGGCGGGUCUCUGGGCAGUAACUGACGCUGAGGAGCGAAAGCGUGGGGAGCGAACAGG